UUUUGGUAUUUUACCUUAGGUCAAUUAAAAAGGAAAUUCAAUGCCGAUUGCUUGGUGGCCAACCAAAGUAACACCAGCCAGUAGGAUUGCUUUAAUGUUUUGGAAAAUUGUGUGUGCAUGUGAGAAGAAAAACGUUCAUAUCAACUGUGUCAUAGCAGAUGGGUAUUCUAUCAACCGUAAAUUUUUUCAUCUUGUCUCCUUGAGGAAGUUUUCCUUGGACAACGAUGACUGUGUUUAUACUGCUCCAAAUCCAUACAGUGCAAACCGGGCAAUUUUUCUCUGUUUGGAUCCUUCACACUUAAUUAAGACGAUUAGAAAUUCAUUUUACGCAUCCCGGCCUGGUGGCAGCCGUUAUCUCAACAUGCUUGGACCAGGUCAUGACAUCCUUUGGGAGCAUGUUGCAAAACUGUAUGAGAUGGAGAAAUCUAUGCCUCCGACAUCUAUUACAAAACUGACCAGUAAUCACAUACAGCUUACCCCAUUUAGUAAAAUGAAUGUGAAACUUGCAAAAGAUGUGUUAAGUCACAAAGUUGCUGAAGCUGUAUCAGCUUAUGUAAGAAGAUGGCGAAGGUACUGCUGAGUUCAUUCGCCUCUUUAGCAGAUGGUGUGAAAUCAUGACAUGUACAAAGUCAAAUGCAGUUUGGGAUGUGGCAGAUGAACGUGUAACUUGGCUUCGAAAUGUCUUUUUGCCAAAAAUGGUAAAGUGGAAGGAUUUGGCAUUGGCUAACAAACACCCACUGCGUGUGUUUGUUAAAGAUAUUAAAUGUGUCUGUUUGCAAACUAUUAUUAGCCAAGAUGUUUUAGAGGCUACUUUUGGCAACUUGCGUCAACUUGGAAGGCGAAAUGAGGCUCCGGAUGUAAAAGAUGUCGCAUAUGGUAUAAAUCAUAUUGUUCAGCGCAAAUCAAUUAAAAAAAUUCAUGGGGGAAAUACGACGUAUGGGAAUGACAAUUCAUGGACUGAAGUUUGUCACCUCCCAAUAGCUUAAUGCUUGGACCGCUUUCUGUGUCUUAUUAUUGGUUUAAAAGCUGCAUGUAUUUUUUGAGUAGUAAUAACAUUUAUUAACAAAAACACAAUGGUGAAAUUCACAAGUUUAUUUCAAAUUUUUUCUGAAACUCUUUUUAGGUUUUGUUGUUUUAAACAUUUUUGAAAACAUUUUUUUAGCACACGUAAAAGACAACACAUUUAAAAACAAUUCAAUUAUAAAAAACAUAAUUUUUUCCACUUCACUUUCAAGUGCAACACUAGUUUCAGCAACAAACUUGUCAAUAAAUGAAAAAACACUGGUGA